GACGAACCGUGCGACCGUUGUUCGGAAUCACUGGGCUUAAAGGGCGCGUAGGCGGGCCGGCAAGUCAGGGGUGAAAUCCCACGGCUCAACCGUGGAAGUGCCUUUGAUACUGCCGGUCUGGAGGGAGGUAGGGGCGUGCGGAACUUCCGGUGGAGCGGUGAAAUGCGUAGAUAUCGGAAGGAACACCGGUGGCGAAAGCGGCGCGCUGGACCUCUACUGACGCUGAGGAGCGAAAGCCAGGGGAGCAAACGGG
rnacentral:rRNA from 1 species